GAUCCUGGCUUAGGACGAACGCUGGCGGCGUGCUUCAUACAUGCAAGUCGAACGAGAAUCUGGCUUCGGUCAGAGGAAAGUGGCGGACGGGUGAGUAAUGUGUAGAGAAUCUGCCCUUUAGUGGGGGACAACAGUUGGAAACGACUGCUAAUACCCCAUAUGCGCGUAGCUGAGAUGCUAUUCGUGAAAACUCCGGUGCUAAAGGAUGAGUCUGCAUCUGAUUAGCUAGUUGGCGGUGUAAUGGACCACCAAGGCGACGAUCAGUAGCUGGUUUGAGAGGAUGAUCAGCCACAAUGGGACUGAGACACGGCCCAUACUCCUACGGGAGGCAGCAGUAGGGAAUUUUGCGCAAUGGGGGAAACCCUGACGCAAGCAACGCCGCGUGAUUGAAUAAGCCCUUCGGGGUGUAAAGAUCUGUCAGUAGGGACGAAACUUGACGGUACCUACAGAGGAAGCAUCGGCUAACUCCGUGCCAGCAGCCGC
rnacentral:rRNA from 1 species